rnacentral:rRNA from 1 species
GACGAACGCUGGCGGCGUGCCUAAUACAUGCAAGUCGAGCGAACGGACCAGAAGUUUGCUUGUCUGUUGUUUGCGGAGGACGGGAGAGAAACACGUGGAGAACCUACCUAUAAGACUGGGAUAACUUCGGGAAACCGGCGCUAAUACCGGAGGAUAUUUUGAAUCGUAUGGUUUAAAAGUGAAUGACGGCUUUGGUGUCUUUUAUAGAUGGUUCUGCGCUGCAUUAGCUAGUUGGUACGGUAACGGCUUACCAAGGGGAGGAUGCAUGGCCGACCUGAGAGAGUGAUCGGCCACACUGGAACUGAGACACGGUCCAUGCGCCUACGGGAGGCAGCAGUAGGGAAUCUUCCGCAAUGGGCGAAAGCCUGACGGAGCAACGCCGCGUGAGUGAUGAAGGUCUUCGGUUCGUAAAACUCUGUUAUUGGGGAAGAACAUAUGUGGAAGUAACUGUGCACAGCUUGACGGUACUUAAUCAGAAAGCCACGGCUAACUACGUG